rnacentral:rRNA from 1 species
UACGUAGGGUGCGAGCGUUAAUCGGAAUUACUGGGCGUAAAGUGUGCGCAGGCGGCCGCGCAAGUCGAGUGUGAAAGCCCCGAGCUUAACUUGGGAAUUGCGCUCGAAACUACGUGGCUGGAGUGUGGCAGAGGAAGGUGGAAUUCCAGGUGUAGCGGUGAAAUGCGUAGAGAUCUGGAGGAACACCGAUGGCGAAGGCAGCCUUCUGGGCCAACACUGA